UAGAGACUUGCCUGUGCUACUAUAUCUUCCUGGCCCUCAUUGACAAAUUCUCCCUGGUGGCCCCCACUGAGCAUCCAGACACCAAAGACAAAGAUAUUUUUUAAAUGUUGCUCUGCUCCCCCCACAGGGCUCAACACUCAAGUUUCAAGGCUGCCUCUCCCCACUGAAGACUGGCUUGCUGGCGGCAGUGGAAGGAAGGGGAACCGAAGACAGGAGGACAUGGCUGGCCAGGCCAGCUCUGGCUGUAACAACUGUCAUGUGACAGACCAAGCAAUAUCAAAGAACUAGAGUUCUCAGAGCAAGAAAUGUCACUGGAGCAAGAACUAGCAGAGGGAGUCACAGAUAGGGAACAGAUUCCAGAUGGCUACUGUGUGCCGAGUGAACUUCCAGACUUGCGAAGUCCUGACCCACGUGGCCCUGCCGCC
rnacentral:lncRNA from 1 species